rnacentral:rRNA from 1 species
UACAGAGGGUGCGAGCGUUGUUCGGAAUUACUGGGCGUAAAGCGCGCGCAGGCGGCCUUUUAAGUCUGACGGUGAAAUGCCGGGGCUCAACCCCGUGCCCGCCGGAGAUACUGGGAGGCUGGAGACGAGUAGAGGCAAGCGGAAUUCCGGGUGUAGCGGUGAAAUGCGUAGAUAUCCGGAGGAACACCGGUGGCGAAGGCGGCUUCCUGGACCGACACUGACGCUGAGGCGCGAAAGCUAGGGGAGCAAACGGG